ACACUUCAAGAUCUGCUCAGUCAGUCCAGGAGUGGAGGAGCUGUGUGAGGCGCAGACACUUUACCCUGAGAGGAAGGCAGAAGAUUUCAUCAUAGGGAUUCAGCAGUUUGCUAAGCGGCUGCUUCUCUCAGCACAAGUCCCUCAAGCCUCCUCAUCAGACAGAUCAAGACCAUGCUUGGGGCCUGCACCUUUACUAAGAAGGAAGAGAACAUGGCACAUGUGGUCCAGCAGAGUUAAGAGGAAGAUUCAUGCAGCCUGGAGCCCUGCAUCAGGUUGGGAAGAAAGUCGAAUGAAUGCUGAGAUGCCAGACUGC